UCCCUGAUGGCUCAGAUGGUAAAGAAUCUGCCUGCAAUGCAGGAGACCCAGGUUCGAUUCCUGGGUCGGGAA
rnacentral:tRNA from 1 species